rnacentral:lncRNA from 1 species
UAAGUUCCAUAAUCAGUCAAAUUGAGAAAUAACUUUUUUUUUUUUUUUUUUUGAGUUGGAGUCUUGCCGUGUCGCCCAGGCUGGAGUGUAGUGGCGCAAUCUCGGCUCACUGCAAGCUGUGCCUCCUGAGUUCACACCAUUCUCCUGCCUCAGCCUCCCGAGUAGCUGGGACUACAGGCGCUGCCACCAUGCCCGGCUAAUUUUUUGUAUUUUAAGUAGAGACGGGGUUUCACCAUGUAAACCAGGAUGGUCUCUAUCUCCUGACCUCAUGAUCCACCCGCCUCGGCCCUCCAAAGUGCUGGGAUUACAGGAGUAAGCCGCUGUGCCUGGCCAAGAAAUAACAUUUUUUAAAAGUCAGUUUCCUUUAAAUGAAAACUUUUCAGUAAAAAGUUUUAUGUUAGAUUGGCUUUUUAAAAAGUAGAUCAAGAGACAUGUUUUAAAAUACAGGCAGUUGUCUAACAAGCUGUUCCUAAGCAAGGCUCUGGUUUGUUUUAGGUCAGUAUGACGGUAGGGGAAAGCCGUUGCCAGAGUACCACGUGCGAAUCGCCGGGUUUGAUGAGCGGGUAGGUGUGAGGGUGUGUGACCCAGUCCCUGUCCUGAUGAACGUUCUUCAGAUACGAGAAUGAUCUGUUUGCCUUUAGUAAAUAAGAGACAACAGCCCAUGUUGAUCACAGAUAUAUCGAGUUUAACGUAUUUACUGAGAUGGAGUCUUGCCCUGUUGCUUGGGCUGGAGUGUAAUGGUGCAAUCUCGGCUCACUGCAACCUCUGCCUCCCGGGUUCAAAUGAUUCUCCUGCCUCAGCUUCCCAACCACUUAGGAGGCUGAGGCAUGAGAAUUGCUUGAACCCAGGAGGUGGAGGUUGCAGCAAGCUGAGAUUGCACCGCUGCACUCCAGCCUGGGCGACAGAGUCUCAAAAGAAAGAAAAAGUGACCAGGCGUGGUGGCUCAUGCCUGUAAUUCCAGCACUUUGGGAGGCUGAGGCGGGCAGAUCACGAGGUCAGGCAUUCAAGACCAGCCUGGCCAACAUGGUGAAAACCCGUCUCUACUGAAAAUACAAAAAUUAGCUGGACGUGGUGGCAUUUGCCUGUAAUCCCAUCUAGUCAGGAAGCUGAGGCAGGAAAAUCGCUUGAAUCCAGGAGGCGGAGGUUACAGUGGGCCGAGAUCGCACCACUGCACUCGCCUGGCGACAGAGCGAGACUUCAUCUCAAAAAAAAAAAAAAGAAAAA